AAAAUAUAUUUUGAUUUGUUUAACACUUUUUUGGUUACUACAUGAUUCCAUAUGUGUUAUUUCAUAGUUUUGAUGACUUCACUACUAUUCUACAAUGUAGAAAAUAGCUAAAAUAAAGAAAAACCCUGGAAUAAGUAGGUAUGUCCAAACUUUUGGCUGGUACUGUAUGUGUGUGUGUGUUUGCAAGAUGGACAUAUUCAAACAAGGAAGAUAGAAGUCCGUUGCUUGGACAGAUCAUGCAAUGUGAGACGGCAGGGAGAGCCAAACAAACAGGGCCUCCCGGGUCAAACUGCACAAGUCAAUGAAGGACCUUAGAGUUAACAUGUACUUUGCACUGUUGUAGGCUGGCUGAGGGGGGUGAAUGGCUGCUGUGAAGGGGAUGGCCUUAGCCUCUUAUCUGAGGGUAACGUUUAGGAAGAUAGAUUUUACUGGUUUCAAUUAUUAUAAAUAUGUGAAAUACACACUAAUAUCAUUCAUUCCCUGUAGUGCUGUAACAAUGUGGCAUUUUAGAUAUCAAUUCAAGUCCCAUUGGCCUAGUUCUUUCUUCAAGACCCAUAACAUGGAUAUUAUUAAUUUAAAAAUAAUGCUAUGUUUAUAAUUGAUCCUAUUUAUUGUAGCUAUUCACCAUUAAUGAGAAACAUGAAGGGAAGUUGGAAAUUAUCUAUAUAGUAUUAACUUUAGAAGGUCUUGCACAUCAACUAACAAUCACAUUCAAAUUUUGUUGAAGUAAUGAUGAAUUCAGCUACAUGUCAUAUUCAGAAUGUAAACUAUGGGUGAUUAAAUCAACAUUACAGUUAACACAGGUAGUCUUUAAUGUUCAGUGCAUUUAAGGAAAUGUUAGGCUACUCUUUUAUUCACACAGUUUUCUUCAUUCUCCGUUAUGACUAGAAGUACAGAAUUAAUUGUGAACGAUGUUCUCAUAGCCUACACUCUAAUGCUCAUGAGUUUGAUAGGCCUAUGGCCUUUUGUGGGCUUAUAACACUGAUAACUUGAGCCUAUAACAGUUUUAUAACACUUUUAAUGUUUCAAUUGCAUCCAGUGUUUUCAUUUCAAGGGCAUGGUAUAUGGUACCCUAGGCUAGUCUGUAGCCUAUUCUGGUAUCAUCAAAAAACAUGAAUUAAUGGGACCUUCUCAAUGUUCUGUUUGAAACGCCUUUCAGCACUGGGUUCCCCAAAUAUGCAUUGUAACUGCUUUAAGAGGGACUUUGUUGUUUAUGUGAGCAGACUAAACUGAAAAGGCUUCUUCUGAUGUGUUUUGCAAGAAUAAAAUUGUAAGAAAGUUA
rnacentral:lncRNA from 1 species